rnacentral:piRNA from 1 species
UGAGCAUUCCACAAGGUUUUCAGUGAUGG